rnacentral:tRNA from 1 species
GUGGUUGUAAUUUAAAGAAAAUACUAGAUUGUGAUUCUAGACACGAGAGCUUACAUCUCUCCAACCACC